rnacentral:lncRNA from 1 species
AAAAUCUCUUGGUUUUAUGUCUUCCAGACUGCUUGUUGCUGAGGGCAAAUUGUGGAAUGGAGACUGGUGGAAUUUCACUGCGCUGCAGAAAUUAGGAGCGACUACGACAUUAAAAGCAACAGCAGGUUAAAAGCAUUCCAGUGAGAUGAAGACAUCUGCCUUGUAUUUUCACAUUGCAGAAGAAAAGUUAAGGACAGGAAGAA